rnacentral:rRNA from 1 species
GAUGAACGCUGGCGGCGUGCCUAACACAUGCAAGUCGAACGGAGUCCAGCCUUUAAGACCUUCGGGUCAAAGAGGGGAAGACUGAGUGGCGGACGGGUGAGUAACACGUGGGCAACCUGGCUCAUAGAGGGGGAUAACAGAGAGAAAUUUCUGCUAAUACCGCAUAAGCACACACUGCCGCAUGGCAGAGGGUGAAAAGAGAAUCGCUAUGAGAUGGACCCGCGUCUGAUUAGCCAGUUGGCAGGGUAAGAGCCCACCAAAGCGACGAUCAGUAGCCGAUCUGAGAGGAUGAACGGCCACAUUGGGACUGAGACACGGCCCAAACUCCUACGGGAGGCAGCAGUGGGGGAUAUUGCACAAUGGGGGGAACCCUGAUGCAGCGACGCCGCGUGAGUGAAGAAGUAUUUCGGGAUGUAAAGCUCUAUCAGCAGGGAAGAUAAUGACAGUACCUGAAUAAGAAGCCCCGGCUAACUACGUG